CCUCUGUACCCAAUGGGGACGCGAGGAGGGGACCGCAGUUCGCCAAUCGGAGCUGUCCAGGUGCGGUAGCCUAUGCCCGAAGCGUGGCUCCUUCCGAUUGGUUUCGUUUAGCGGCUCUUGUCCAAUCACAUGGCUCCGCGGGCCCCUCACAUGGGGGACCGCCUCUUUGCCUGGGACGUCUUGGCCCCUAAGGGAAGCCGUCCAAUGAACGUAAGCUCGCAGCACGUCCAUCCUUUGACAGAGGUCGCUGCGGAACCACUUCCGGAUCCUAGAGAGCGUGUAUUCCGUGACUAGGGGAAACAGUAGCCAUGGCAACGCAGUUUCUACCUUUUCCCCCAACCUCGCCCUGCCUGGGCUAUACUUAGGAUCGCAUUGAGAGCCAUUCUAGAGCGGUUUGCAGUUUAUGUUUUGUUUGGUGGUGCACCUUGAAAAAAUGAUGUAACGGUUUAAGACUCCCUCGAGGGCUUCCUUUGCGGCAGGGGGACUACAGUUCCCGGCAUGCAACGCAAGGGCGAGUGCCGUAUUGAACGCUGGGAGUCCCUGGCGCUGGCCUGCUGCCCUGCGCGUUUGUGGGACUCGGCCCUGCGUGUUUUAAGGUUACGUUUUGUUCCGAUUGCAGUGGAGAGCUGUGCUUAUUGCUACACAACUUUCACAGGUGGGCCUAGAAGGCCUCCGCGUCUCGGCCAGGGCCACCGGGUGCAGGCCGCCGGCCGAUGAGAGCCCGGGCCCCGGCUCGCGAGGCGCAUUUCCGAAUCUGGCUUCUCGUGCGUCUCCUACGGCGCCCAGACCCUUUGCCUCUGCGUAUUCCCGGCCGGAAGGAAUCCCCAGACCCUACCGAUUUGGUUCGCAGAAGAAAGUGCUGGGGUUCCCCAUUCCCGAGGGAGGUCGCAAACAACUUUGAUGUCUUUAACCCCCAUGAAGCACCCAAAGGGCCGCGGCCCCGAAUCAGGCGGAGAGCUUGGCGAUCAAGUGCGGUCUGGCAUGGAAGUGGAAAGACGCAAAGCUACACCUGGGUGCUACAAAGGAGAUCCAGAUCGCAGCCUUGAAACUUGUUAGAGAUACCCUGCCGGCCAAGGCGCCUAGCACACCUGGUGUCUUUCCUGGGGGUGGGGGUGGGGGAGUCCUUCACACGAAGUUGUGCCUUUAAAAAAAGCUUCCUGCCUCUUGUCUCUUAGAUGUAGUUUUCGUGAGCUGCCCACCCACGCACAGGUCUCUAACAUACACACCUUCUUUGUUACUUCUUUCUCCAGCGAAAUGGAAUUUUGCUUUCUGAUAAUCAUCAGUGUUCCUGAAGAUAAGCUUUUCAAUGACAGUCUGUUACAGUCUUGUACAACUUCCCCUAUUUAGGUUUGCCUGAUCUUGAUGCUGUGGUUGGUGUUUACAUAUUGUGGUGGUGCCUUAUUUAGAUCUGCCCGAUUUACCUACAUUUGUUAGUAGUAAGCAAACUGACACAGCAGGUUUUAUGCUUCUGUGCUUGGCAUUUAAAAAAAAAAAACAGCCGUAUAUUAGGGUGUUAACUGCAUGCAGCAAUCUCAGUGACAUCUUUGUUAUAACUAGUUUAUUUUUUAAGGGAAAGACGAGGUGCUUCACUUUUCUGCUUUUGAUGGCUCCACUUCUCUGUCUCUGUAGUUAGAGCUGAGCGAGCUGUCCUGGAAGUGCGAGUGCCUGCUUAGCUGGGUGGUGCUGCACCUGGGGGAACUGAGAGUGAGAUUUGUCCUCCAAAAUAGACCUCCACCCUGGGGUGGGAGGGCUUCCUGCAGGUGAGGUGAGACUGACUGGCCCAGUACCCUCCCUAAGUGGGCAGUUUAUUAGGUUCCUACUCUUCUGACUUUGGCUCUGUGGCUGUUUUUCCCAGUGGUUAGUGGAUAGUGGUUCCCUCACCAGGGCAUCUGAUUCUCUUGUUUCCUCACCUUCUUGUUUGACAUGUUCCCAGGGCUGCUGCGGGAAUUGUACCUUGUUGUUGUUAUACUGUUGCUCUAUUUACUUAUUUAUUCUUGAGACAAAGCCUCACUGUGUAGUUCAGGAUGGACUUGAGUUCACUGUGUAGCCCAGGCUGGCCUUGAACUCGAGGUGAUCCUCCUGCCUCAGCCUCUGGAGCGGCAGGGUUUAUAGGUGUGCACCAGCACUCGGGGUGUAAUGCUGCCUCUUGAGUCUAUCUAAUGCAACCAGAUAGCUCCUUCUCUUGCUGUUAAACUUGGAAGGGAAAAUCACAUAGGCAGAGAGAUCAGUUAGGGACCACAUGUCUCAGUUCGGAUAGGGAGGUGUAGUGGGGUGUCAGGGACGAAACAGGCCCGGGAGACCAAGGCAGGAAAGCUGUUGGCCUCAGGGAAGACUGAGCAAUGGAUGAAUGUGGAGAAGCAUUGGUUGGCCAAUUGGUUCCUUCCUCAUUACUCAGCAAAUGUCAAAGACCUGGUGGACUCCAGGAAAUACAAAGACACAGUACAUGGUAGACACGGUCUCUGUGCUUACAGAAUGGGAGCAAAUAUGAAUGGUAGAGUUGCACCGUGGUGUUUAUUUAAACCAAGGUAAAGAUGUGAAAGUACCUGCGAGGUACCAGGGAAGCUUUUGAGCUAUUGGAAAUGCUCUUGGUCUUGAGAUUGAUUGUGGUUACAAAUCAUCACACAUAAAAGGGUGAGUUUGCUUAUUAUAUAACUACACCUCAAAUAGGGAAAAAUAAUAGUAACUGUCCCUCUAGACAACAAGACCCUAAACACAUCUCAGUGAGGGUCAGGAACUAGCCAGGGAAGUCCGAGGUAGUCGGCCUUGGCUCACACUCUGGGAGAGUCUAACGGUGAGAAAAGCAAUCGGUGUAUGUUUUAGAAAAGUCAAAAUCCUUAAUUUUUAAAAUUCUAUCUUACUGGUGACAUGUUUACAUACCCCAGAAAUCCAAGAGACUCUAGCUGAAGUAUCCAUAAGGAAUAGGACAAUCCAGCACCUCGUUGGGUUUAAGAUCAGUCUGUCCAUCUGGGCCUCGAUCAGGUCAGCCUAGCAAGACCCUGUCUCAGAAUAAAAUAAAUGCAUACCCAGGGCUGGAGAUGUACCUCAGUGCUCCAAAGGAAAAAAAAUCCUUCAAUCUUUAAAAAUCAAUAAUCUUGCUCUCACCUUGCAAAACAACACAUAGUAAUGUAAACUUUUCCAACUUUCAGAGGCAAACCCCAGUAGAUAUUUAGGAAUAAACUCACAGAACACAUAGUACAACAUGGGAAAAGUAACAGGUAUUAAGCACAGUGCAGAAAGCAAGGGACCUGGGGCAUGUUUGUGCUCUGUGUAUUACCAUGUAACAAGUCACCCCAACCCAGCGCCUUAGAACUCUCCCGUCCCCCACUGAGAUCAGGAAUCCAAGCGGUUCUGCUGGUCGUGCUGGCUUGGAGUUGCUCACUGCUUGUCGGUCAGAUAUUGGCUAGGGCUGAGGUCCCCUGGAGGCUGGGCUGGGGCGCCAGGUGGUGAGGUCACUCAGUCAGCUUGGUGGGAGACCUCAGUCUUGUGGCCGGGGGACCUCUCCACCCACCGGGCUGCUGGCUCCCUCGGGACUGUGAUGGAAGACGCAGAGCACAGUGGGGGGCCCCAGUGACCCACAGCCCAGCUGGAACCACACAGCAGCAGAGCAUCACGCCAGGGCGGGAACUGAGGCCCAUCCGGGACCUGGCUGCCCACAUACCCUGGUUAGAGGGAGACUAGGGGAAGCCUGAUGUGGGGUUUUCAGCUCCUCUCCAAAGAGGGGGGCUCAGGAUCCUGGAGUGAGGGUUUCUCCGAGUACAGGCAAAGGUUAGUUGUAGGGCAGUCAGAGAAAAGGAUAAAAGUCAGCGGACAGGACGGCGCAAGGAGAGAAUCCAAAAUGAAUUCUUUCAAAUAAAUGGCGUCAGAGUGACAUUUCAAUUUGGAGGGGGAGAGCUUGUGUGCUAAAUGACACUUGCCUUAAGCUGGACUGGGUACCCAGCUUAAGCAAAAUAAAGCCAAACUCCUAUUUUUUAGCACGCAGAAAUAAAUUCCAACUUAGGAAAACAGACGACGGAGAGAUUUUCUUAACCAAAAUUGCACAUCCAGGAAAUCUCACAGGAAGCUGAUAUAGGGUGUCAGGUCCCCUCCCCCCUCCUUUUUGGGGAGACCUGGACUCCUGUCUUUCUGGGCAGGGGUGGGAAGGCAGUGGGAGAGCAGAGGACUCAUGCUGUGACCCCCCCCUCCAGCUUUAUCCCCACGUCCUGGCGGCCUUUGUAGCCAUCUGAUGCCUUUAAAUAGUCUCUCCAGUGUCUUUUUCAGCCUCUGCCUUCCUGGCUGGACAAUGGGUCGCCUUCACAUCGUCCCUCACAGCGGAAUGCGGAAGUCUUACCUAUUGUGGUGCCCAGCACAUGAAUUUCAAAAACAAACCACCCAACAAACAAGAAACCGCCAAAGCUUGUCCUCUGUGGAUCUUGGACCUUAGUGGAGAACAGAGAACCUGCUUCAUCACAGAGCGGGAAGCAAGUGUCCCGGUGGAGGAAAAAUGGACCUCGGCAGUAAUUAUCGACGUGGCAGAUGUUGAUUGAAUACUUGUACAUUCCCUAGAGAUUCUGGCCAGGCGUGGUGUGCACUGCUGAAAUCUCAGCUCUCGGCAGGCCGAGGCAGGGGGCUGCCUGGAGUUUGAGGCCAGCCUGGGCUGCAGAGCGAGCUCAAGGCCAUCCACAUAGGUAGAAUUAAGCAGCGCUGACUUGAUGAAGAAACGCGUUAGGGGUGUGGAGUUUGUGGUGUAGGACUUGCCUGGCACCCUGGGCUUCCAUCCCAGCCUGCAAAAAGGAAAGAAAGGAGGAAACGGGUUUGUUGGGAAGGCGUCUCUCCGUACGCAGUCCAUCUUAGCAGCGUUAAAAGAGAAAUCAGAACAGAAAAGGGCUAAUGAGCUGCUUACUUAUACCCUCCCACUGAAACAGACCCGGGGCUGGACCCUGAGGCCGCUCUGCAGCGCCCAGACCCAGCUCUGCCUCCGCAGGUGGUGGGGAGGCAGGAGCUGCCGCAGGCGUUCCUCAUCCUUGUGGCCAGGCAGGGACGGAAGGCAGAGUGACUCUGCCCAGCGCAAAAGUCUCGCUUGCAGUUUUGUUUCUGUCUUUCUGAUUAUGACCAGAGAAAGCCAGUCAGGUGCGAGAUGGGCUUAGAGUUUUUGUUGUUGUUUUUGAUUUUGAGAUGGGGUGUCACUGUGCAGCCCACGCUGGCCUUCAGUUCACUGUGUAGCCCACGCUGGCCUCGAACUUGAGGUGAUCCCCGAUGCUGGCCUUGAACUCACAGACGGCCUCAAACUCAUGGUGAUCCUCCUGCCUCAGCCUCCUGAGUGCUGGGAUUGCAGGUGUGUGCUGCCACACCUGGCUAAGGGUUUACACUUAAUAAAAGUUUCUAUUAAACUGUUUUGGGUAAAAUUAUACAUAAAAUAAUAAAGUCCACACUUUGC